UGCUUCUUUCAUCCUAACAGCUUCAGGGAUUGAAGUGAAAGUUCUUUCAUCCAGGAUGGACUACAAACAGCAGCAAAGUCCAAAUCUAACCUUCAGAAUAGAAGUCUAUGUCCACCACUGAACAGAUACCUGGAGGAUCCCCACUGCAGUCCAGGCACAAAUCCCAUGACCUCAACCUGACCAAUCAGGAGAGACCUGAUUGGCUACCUUGUCUGAUUGAUUGAGUUCUUCCCAUUUGAGCCUUGAGAUCACAGCUGAGGACUCAAGAGUCCCUUUCCCAUGUCCAUCCUCUUUAAAGUGAUGAGCUCUCUACAUCAGGAGACACAGGGUGGUGACUUUCAGGUGUGGCCUGAGACAGCAGAAGCAGGAGCUCUGCAGGAAGUCCAGAUGGCAGUGUGCCCACUUCCCCAGCAUGAAGGGUCUGUGUCCAGCACAGGAGGAGGAAAGUGACAGCAAGCUGGAGGAAAAUGGGUACCACUUUGGAUAGAAUGCUGGGACAUUGCUCCACUUUGGAAGUGAGUAGGCCUUACCUAGCCUAGGGCACAGUG